rfam:Lactobacillus mixtipabuli DNA, scaffold: sequence15, strain: IWT30.
GCCGCUGUAGCUCAGAAGGUAGAGCACUUCCAUGGUAAGGAAGAGGUCAUCGGUUCAAAUCCGAUAAGCGGCU